rnacentral:rRNA from 1 species
CCUACGGGUGGCUGCAGUAGGGAAUCUUCCACAAUGGGCGAAAGCCUGAUGGAGCAACGCCGCGUGGGUGAAGAAGGUCUUCGGAUCGUAAAACCCUGUUCGUAGAGAAGAAAGUGCGUGAGAGUAAAUGUUCACGUUUCGACGGUACCUAACCAGAAAGCCACGGCUAACUACGUGCCAGCAGCCGCGGUAAUACGUAGGUGGCAAGCGUUAUCCGGAUUUAUUGGGCGUAAAGGGAACGCAGGGGGUCUUUUAAGUCGGAUGUGAAAGCCCUCGGCUGAACCGGGGGAUGGCAUUGGAAACUGGGAGACUAGAGUACAGAAGAGGGGAGGGGAACUCCAGGUGUAGCGGUGAAAUGCGUAGAUAUAUGGAGGAACACCAGUGGCGAAGGCGGCUCUCUGGACAGUAACUGACGCUGAGGUUCGAAAGCGUGGGUAGCAAACAGGAUUAGAUACCCGUGUAGUC